rnacentral:rRNA from 1 species
CCUACGGGGGGCAGCAGUCGAGAAUCAUUCACAAUGGGCGAAAGCCUGAUGGUGCGACGCCGCGUGGAGGACGAAGGCCCUAGGGUCGUAAACUCCUGUCAUCAGGGAGUAAGGCGUUUACCAGGUAAUGGGUAGGCGAUUGAUAGUACCUGAAGAGGAAGGGACGGCUAACUUCGUGCCAGCAGCCGCGGUAAUACGAAGGUCCCGAGCGUUGUUCGGAUUUACUGGGCGUAAAGAGUCUGUAGGCGGUCAGGUAAGUCAGGUGUGAAAUCCCGGAGCUCAACUCCGGAACUGCACCCGAUACUGCCUGACUGGAGUAUUGGAGGGGCAUCUGGAAUUCUCGGUGUAGCAGUGAAAUGCGUAGAUAUCGAGAGGAACACUAGUGGCGAAGGCGAGAUGCUGGACAAUUACUGACGCUGAGAGACGAAGGCCAGGGUAGCGAAAAGGAUUAGAUACCCUUGUAGUCCUGGCAGUAAACGGUGCACGCUUGGUGUGGGAGGAUUCGACCCCUUCCGUGCCGGAGCUAACGCGUUAAGCGUGCCGCCUGGGGAGUACGGUCGCAAGAUUAAAACUCAAAGAAAUUGACGGGGACCCGCACAAGCGGUGGAGCAUGUGGCUUAAUUCGAUGCAACGCGAAGAACCUUACCUGGGCUUGACAUGUCAGUCGUAGAUUUGUGAAAGCUUAUCGUCACUUCGGGUGGACUGUCACAGGUGCUGCAUGGCUGUCGUCAGCUCGUGUCGUGAGAUGUCAGGUUAAGUCCUAUAACGAGCGCAACCCCUAUGAACUGUUGCCAGCGGAUAAUGCCGGGGACUCUGUUCAGACUGCCCAGAUUAACUGGGAGGAAGGAGGGGAUGACGUCAAGUCAGUAUGGCCCUUACGCCCAGGGCUGCACACGUGCUACAAUGUCCAGUACAAUGUGAACCGAUACCGCGAGGUGGAGGAAAUCCUGAAAAACUGGGCUCAGUUCGGAUUGCAGGCUGCAACUCGCCUGCAUGAAGUUGGAAUCGCUAGUAAUGGCUCAUCAGCUACGGAGCCGUGAAUACGUUCCCGGGUCUUGUACACACCGCCCGUC